GGGAACGUGGAGGAAGGUUCUGCCACUGCCCACUGCCUGCCAUGCCUCUGUUUGGAUGACGACAUCCUUAAACAUUCCCACGGCUCUGUUUGGACAUCUGAUGACUUAAGGAAUCAUUAUGUGUUUUUAGGUGCCAUAAUGGUACUGUGGGCAUCUUUGAGAGACAUGUGGAGGCGUGAAGGUGCGGUAUGAAGCGGUAUGACGCCUGGGAUAUAAGAUGGCCCAGGGUGGAAAGAGGAAACAGCCACCAUCUCUGACAAACCCCAUCCUUCCAUGCACAACUUUCCCCUUUGAAGUGCUCCAGUAGGAGUUUGGAAGCCAGAUAUAAAAACUUACAUUACAGCUGAGAAAACACAGCUCUGGGUCUUUGGUUUAUGGGGUAACCGAAGUCCUCACACAUGCGAGUUUAGAUGCCAAGCCAGUGGCCCCACUGCAGCUCGGGAGAGAAGGUUGGGGUGGGCCAGGGACAGCGGCAGCAAAGCCAGCUCGAGGAACUCUGAGGGGCCUGACCCCUCUCACCGCCCAGCACACCCCGGGCCCCCACUGCUUCUUCAACACAACAUGUGGUCUUCAUCUCAAGCGCAAGGCCUGAAAACAGUUUUCCAAUUUCCGGGAUGGCUUCUGGCCACAGGCCGACCAUGGAUCCAAAAGAUGAUCUGACCCAGGAGAGCAGGCGGGGCCGUCGCUGGGCUUCCUGGUGCUUUAGGGACCGGCCACCCGCGGAGAACAUGCACUGCACGGUGGCUGGAGGUGGCCACCAGUACCCGCAGCCACCCCAGGAGGAAGGGCAGGCAGCACCUCUGUGUGUGGUUUGGAUGUCCAGGGGGGAGAUUCCCGGGACUCUCUUCAAGAGACACCCCAGACUCCAUGGAAAAUGGAAAGACCGUCAUUUUCGUGGUUUUUGCAAAUGCAAAAGAUUUGAGAGCUGGCUCGAGCCAAGUCGUACACUAGGAGUGGCUUGCCCUGGGCGAGCAACUCGGGACGGGACUCUCCAGAGCCCAGCUUGUGGGGGCAGCCCGGGAGAAUUGUCCACCGGGCACAGAGCUGUGGGGCAAGUGACAGAGAGAAGAGCCAGUGGGCGUUCUGGAGCCACCAGGCCACUGUCUCCUGGACCUGGUCUGUCUGACGCUGCCUCAGCGAUGACCCCUGUUACCCACCCACAGAACCCAGGCCUGCAAUCCUGUGAGUUGGUUGGAGCCAGGCACCCUCCUGAGCCCAUGAAGAGCCCCACGAAUUAGGCGCCAUUAUGGCUCCAUUUUACAGAUGAGGAAACUAAGACUCAGAGAGGUUAAGUAACUUGCCUAUGGUCAUGCAGCUAACAAGUGGCAGGGCCAGGAAAGCUGCCAUGCCACGAUUUCUUCACAUUUGGGCAGUGAGGCAAGGACACUGACUCGGAAGUCGCUUCUGGAUCCCUAGGGUUGCUGGAACCUGUGGAACCUGAGUCUAGAGAACCUGCCCGCUGCACUGCGGUGUGGACGGGGCUGGUGCUGGUGAACUGACUGCGACUCGCUUCUCCCCUGUCUGUUCCGGAACCCCGCCUGGCCAUGCUGAGCUGCAACCUAACUUAGAGGUAGAGGCCGCCCCACGUCUACACAGAGAGCCUCCAGAGCUGCGGGGAUAUGGCUGCCAUGAGAUAUCACAGGCAGAGGGUAGCUUUUCCUUCCUCCUGUUGGGAGGUGACAGAGGGAGAGAAAGGACAGCCUCAACGGUUAAACGUCAUACUGACUGCCCAGCAACGGCCUCCUGUCUCUACAAGGAGAGAAAGGGCAGCGUCGGCCGUGGCUGUGUAACCACCGUGAGACUGGGGCGAAGUCUGGCUCCCGAAGGUGGCAAGCCGGGCCCAAGGGACAAGAGUGAAGGGCACAUGGGACAGACCUGGGCCUGGAGGGCCCUGCAGGGCAGAGACAGGUACCUUGGCAGCGGCCAGCUCGUGGGCGAGCUCCUGGAUCUUCUGCUGCUGCUGAAUCAGCAGCUCCUGGACGGAGGCGAGGGUCGUCUGUAACUGAGUCACUGCGAGGAGAAAGCAGUCACGGCGCGGUUAAAUUCACAGGCACAGAUGUUCCUCUCACUCGGUCCGUGCACCUAGGAGCUGCCCAUGUUCCCGCUCCAUCUAAUUUAUCUGCAGACACCCCCAGCCCCCCGCAAUCCAUCUAAUUUAUCUGCACUCUGGGUGAUCUGCCUGCCCUGUGUCUAACCUCUAGUAUUUCUACUUUAUCUUUCUAUUGUGUAGUUGUCCAUGGUCAACAGUAUAUCCGUCCAGAA